UGCGUAGACGGUUUCGUAAGUCGGAUGUGAAAUCCCCGGGCUCAACCUGGGAACUGCAUUCGAAACUGCAAGGCUAGGGUGCGGAAGAGGGAAGCGGAAUUUCCGGUGUAGCGGUGAAAUGCGUAGAUAUCGGAAGGAACAUCAGUGGCGAAAGCGGCUUCCUGGUCCAGCACCGACGUUCAGGCACGAAAGCGUGGGGAGCAAACAGGAUUAGAUACCCUGGUAGUCCACGCCAUAAACGAUGAGAACUAGACGUUGAGAGGGUAAGCCUCCCAGUGUCGUAGCUAACGCGCUAAGUUCUCCGCCUGGGGAGUACGGCCGCAAGGUUGAA
rnacentral:rRNA from 1 species